rnacentral:rRNA from 1 species
CCUACGGGUAGCAGCAGUGGGGGAUAUUGCACAAUGGGGGAAACCCUGAUGCAGCGACGCCGCGUGUGGGAAGACUGUCCUCUGGAUUGUAAACCACUGUCCCCAGGGACGAAGAUGACGGUACCUGGGGCGUCAGCUCCGGCUAACUACGUUCCAGCAGCCGCGGUAAUACGGAGGGAGCGAGCGUUGUCCGGAAUUACUGGGUGUAAAGGGAGCGUAGGCGGGGAUGCAAGUUGGGUGUCAAAACUACCGGCUCAACUGGUAGGCGCACUCAAAACUGCAGCGCUUGAGUGAAGUAGAGGCAGGCGGAAUUCGUAGUGUAGCGGUGAAAUGCGUAGAUAUUAGGAGGAACACCAGUGGCGAAAGCGGCCUGCUGGGCUGUGACUGACGCUGAGGCUCGAAAGUGUGGGGAGCAAACAGGAGUAGAUACCCGGGUAGUC